GUCACAAUAACAGUUGUAGAAGGAGUAAGGGUAAAUGUAAGCGUUUUAAGUGCCAAGAAAAAUACUAUGAAUACAUGGGAAAAUGUCAUUGGCCAGCAAAAUACUGUUGUGUGCUAAAAACAAAUUUGCCAGAGGGAAGAAAGUGAAAUGAAUUGAGACUUCAGAAUAGAAAAAUUUAUCUUGCUGCACAAGAAAAAUUGGAUCUAGAAAAACAAGAAAAAACCUGAGACGGAAAACAAAAAUGCAAACAAACAAUAACAGGAAGAGUGGAAAUGCUAUGUUGUGGUCCACACUCAGUUCCCAUGGUCCUCUCUCUCUGGAUGUAGAUGACUCUCUUCAUCAUUGAACAAUUGGAACUGGUUUGAAUCAUCUUGUUAUUGAAAAGAGCCAUGUCUAUCAGAAUUGAUCAUCAUAUAUAGUCUUAUUGUUGCCAUG